CCUACGGGAGGCAGCAGUGGGGAAUUUUGGACAAUGGGGGCAACCCUGAUUCAGCCAUUCCGCGUGAGUGAAGAAGGCCUUCGGGUUGUAAAGCUCUUUCGCGAGGGAAGAAAACUUAUGAUCGAAUAAAUCAUGAGGUUGACGGUACCUUGAUAAGAAGCACCGGCUAACUACGUGCCAGCAGCCGCGGUAAUACGUAGGGUGCGAGCGUUAAUCGGAAUUACUGGGCGUAAAGCGUGCGCAGGCGGUUUUGUAAGUCGGAUGUGAAAUCCCCGGGCUCAACCUGGGAACUGCGUUCGAAACUGCAAGGCUAGAGUGUGUCAGAGGGGGGUAGAAUUCCACGUGUAGCAGUGAAAUGCGUAGAGAUGUGGAGGAAUACCAAUGGCGAAGGCAGCCCCCUGGGAUAACACUGACGCUCAUGCACGAAAGCGUGGGGAGCAAACAGGAUUAGAUACCCUGGUAGUCCACGCCCUAAACGAUGUCAACUAGUUGUUGGUAGAGUAAAAUCUAUGAGUAACGUAGCUAACGCGUGAAGUUGACCGCCUGGGGAGUACGGUCGCAAGAUUAAAACUCAAAGGAAUUGACGG
rnacentral:rRNA from 1 species